CAAAACUACGGUCUCAGUUCAGAUUGCAGGCUGCAACUCGCCUGCAUGAAGUUGGAAUUGCUAGUAAUCGCGAAUCAGAAUGUCGCGGUGAAUACGUUCCCGGGCCUUGUACACACCGCCCGUCACACCAUGAGAGUCGAUAACACCCGAAGCCUGUGAGCUAACCGUAAGGAGGCAGCAGUCGAAGGUAGGGUUGAUGAUUGGGGUGAAGUCGUAACAAGGUACC
rnacentral:rRNA from 1 species